AACGAACGCUGGCGGCAUGCCUAACACAUGCAAGUCGAACGAGACCUUCGGGUCUAGUGGCGCACGGGUGCGUAACGCGUGGGAACCUGCCUUUAGGUUCGGAAUAACUCAGAGAAAUUUGAGCUAAUACCGGAUAAUGUCUUCGGACCAAAGAUUUAUCGCCUUUAGAUGGGCCCGCGUUGGAUUAGCUAGUUGGUGGGUAAAGCCUACCAAGGCGACGAUCCAUAGCUGGUCUGAGAGGAUGAUCAGCCACACUGGGACUGAGACACGGCCCAGACUCCUACGGGAGGCAGCAGUGGGAAUAUUGGACAAUGGGCGAAAGCCUGAUCCAGCAAUGCCGCGUGAGUGAUGAAGGCCUUAGGGUUGUAAAGCUCUUUUACCCGAGAUGAUAAUGACAGUAUCGGGAGAAUAAGCUCCGGCUAACUCCGUGCCAGCAGCCGCGGUAAAGUGACUACUG
rnacentral:rRNA from 1 species